GGGUCAGUGGGUUGGUCGUGCCACCGGUACGUACUGGUCUCACUGAUUCCUCCUUCCUGAAGAACCGUAAUGCCAUUAAUUUGGUGUUGCGGGGAGACAGGACUGUUACUUUGAAAAAAUUAGAGUGUUUAAAGCAGGCUAACGCUUGAAUACAUUAGCAUGGAAUAAUGAAAUAGGACGAUCGAUCCUAUUUUGUUGGUUUCUAGGAUUGACGUA
rnacentral:rRNA from 1 species